rnacentral:snoRNA from 1 species
NNNNNNNNNUGUGAGUGUGCAAGGCGGGUGUGCGAGGCGCGGCCUGAUUCCCCCCCACCCCCUACACGUUGAUCUUAUUCGAUCGGCCGGGCCGGGCCAGGCCGAGGUGAGAAGAAGCGGCGCCGCGAAGCCCCCGGGCGCUGUGCGGCGGCCGGCGGCGGGCGGGAUGAGUCGAUCAGAUAGGCGAGGCCGCGGCCGCUGAGCGCCCUGCGAUUCUGACCCGC